UACGUAGGUGACAAGCGUUAUCCGGAUUUAUCGGGCGUAAAGCGCACGCAGGCGGCUCUUCAAGUCUGACGUGAAAUCUCUCGGCUUAACCGGGAGCGGUCGUUGGAAACUGAAGGGCUUGAGGCGAUGAGAGGGGUGUGGAAUUCCCGGUGUAGUGGCGGAAUGCGUAGAUAUCGGGAGGAACAUCAGUGGCGAAAGCGGCACCCUGGCAUUAGCCUGACGCUCAUGUGCGAAAGCGUGGGGAGCGAACGGG
rnacentral:rRNA from 1 species